UACGGAGGGUGCAAGCGUUAUCCGGAUUCACUGGGUUUAAAGGGUGCGUAGGAGGGUAGGUAAGUCAGUGGUGAAAUCUUCGAGCUUAACUCGGAAACUGCCGUUGAUACUAUCUAUCUUGAAUACCGUGGAGGUGAGCGGAAUAUGUCAUGUAGCGGUGAAAUGCUUAGAUAUGACAUAGAACACCAAUUGCGAAGGCAGCGCGCUACACGAAUAUUGACACUGAGGCACGAAAGCGUGGGGAUCAAACAGG
rnacentral:rRNA from 1 species